CCAAAGCAAGAUUUUCUGGACAGGCAGGGUUUCUGACUGUCUGGAGGCUCCCAGGGAGCUUGUGCCAUACCUACCGGUGGUGCUUCGAUGGAUCCGCAGCUACUGUGAUGAAAGCUUGUGCGUCCUCCAUGGCAUCGAAGUACUCCGUCUCCUCAUCUUCAUCACUGGCUUCCGCUUUCACGCUCUGUACGCUCCCUCCUGGCAGAGAGGCAAUAAUACCCAGGCUGUGAAUAUAUC